UGCGUGUGUCUCUGUGUGUGUGUCUGUGUGUUGGUGUAUGUGUGUGUAUGUAGAAGUGGGGAGGGGUAGUAGGCGUCCAGCCUUCCCUUCUUUCAUCUCUGUCUCCUGUGUGGUGCGUCUGUGUGUGUGUCUGUGUGUGUAUGUAGAAGUGGGGAGGGGUAGUAGGGUUCCAGCCUUCCCUUCCUUCAUCUCUGUCUCCUGUGUGUGUGUGUGUGUGUCUGUGUGUUUGUGUAUGUGUGUGUAUGUAGAAGUGGGGAGGGGUAGCAGGGGUCCAGCCUUCCCUUCCUUCAUCUCUGUCUCCUGUGUGUGUGUGUGUGUGUGUCUGUGUGUGUGUGUGUGUGUCUGUGUGUGUAGAAGUGGGGAGGGGUAGUAGGGGUCCAGCCUCCCCUUCCUUCAUCUCUGUCUCCUGUGUGUGUGUGUGUGUGUG